UACAGGGGGUGCAAACGUUGCUCGGAAUUAUUGGGCGUAAAGCGCGCGUAGGCGGCUAUUUAAGUCGGAUGUGAAAGCCCUUGGCUCAACUGAGGAAGUGCACCCGAAACUGAAUGGCUUGAGUACCAAAGAGGGUCGCGGAAUUCCCGGUGUAGAGGUGAAAUUCGUAGAUAUCGGGAGGAACACCGGUGGCGAAGGCGGCGAUCUGGGUAGAUACUGACGCUGAGGUGCGAAAGCGUGGGGAGCAAACAGG
rnacentral:rRNA from 1 species